GACGAACGCUGGCGGCGUGCUUAACACAUGCAAGUCGAACGGAAAGGCCCUGCUUUUUUGGGGUGCUCGAGUGGCGAACGGGUGAGUAACACGUGAGUAACCUGCCCUUGACUUUGGGAUAACUUCAGGAAACUGGGGCUACUACCGGAUAGGAGCUCCUGCUGCAUGGUGGGGGUUGGAAAGUUUCGGCGGUUGGGGAUGGACUUGCGGCUUAUCAGCUUGUUGGUGGGGUAGUGGCUUACCAAGGCUUUUACGGGUAGCCGGCCUGAGAGGGUGACCGGCCCCAUUGGGAAUGAGAUACGGCCCAGACUCCUACGGGAGGCAGCAGUGGGGAAUAUUGCACAAUGGGCGGAAGCCUGAUGCAGCAACGCAGCGUGCGGGAUGAAGGCCUUCGGGUUGUAAACCGCUUUCGCCUGUGACGAAGAGUGAGUGACGGUAAUGGGUAAAGAAGCACCGGCUAACUACGUG
rnacentral:rRNA from 1 species